rnacentral:rRNA from 1 species
GGUAACCUACCCUGUACACACGGAUAACAUACCGAAAGGUAUGCUAAUACGGGAUAAUAUAUUUGAGAGGCAUCUCUUAAAUAUCAAAGGUGAGCCAGUACAGGAUGGACCCGCGUCUGAUUAGCUAGUUGGUAAGGUAACGGCUUACCAAGGCGACGAUCAGUAGCCGACCUGAGAGGGUGAUCGGCCACAUUGGAACUGAGACACGGUCCAAACUCCUACGGGAGGCAGCAGUGGGGAAUAUUGCACAAUGGGCGAAAGCCUGAUGCAGCAACGCCGCGUGAGUGAUGAAGGCCUUCGGGUCGUAAAACUCUGUCCUCAAGGAAGAUAAUGACGGUACUUGAGGAGGAAGCCCCGGCUAACUACGUGCCAGCAGCCGCGGUAAUACGUAGGGGGCUAGCGUUAUCCGGAUUUACUGGGCGUAAAGGGUGCGUAGGCGGUCUUUCAAGUCAGGAGUGAAAGGCUACGGCUCAACCGUAGUAAGCUCUUGAAACUGGGAGACUUGAGUGCAGGAGAGGAGAGUGGAAUUCCUAGUGUAGCGGUGAAAUGCGUAGAUAUUAGGAGGAACACCAGUUGCGAAGGCGGCUCUCUGGACUGUAACUGACGCUGAGGCACGAAAGCGUGGGGAGCAAACAGGAUUAGAUACCCUGGUAGUCCACGCUGUAAAC